CACGUAGGGCGCAAGCGUUGUCCGGAAUUAUUGGGCGUAAAGAGCUCGUAGGCGGUCUGUUGCGUCCGCUGUGAAAACCCGGGGCUUAACCCCUGGCUUGCAGUGGAUACAGACAGACUAGAGGUAGGUAGGGGAGAAUGGAAUUCCCGGUGUAGCGGUGAAAUGCGCAGAUAUCGGGAGGAACACCGGUGGCGAAGGCGGUUCUCUGGGCCUUACCUGACGCUGAGGAGCGAAAGCGUGGGGAGCGAACAGG
rnacentral:rRNA from 1 species